rnacentral:rRNA from 1 species
AACGCGAAGAACCUUACCUGGGCUUGACAUGUUAGUGGUAGGGAAAUGAAAGUGGACCGACCUGUAGUAAUACAGGAGCUAACACAGGUGCCGCAUGGCUGUCGUCAGCUCGUGCCGUGAGGUGUUGGGUUAAGUCCCGCAACGAGCGCAACCCUUAUCCUAUGUUACCUCGCAAGAGGGUCUCUUAGGAAACUGCCGGCGAUGAGCUGGAGGAAGGUGGGGACGACGUCAAGUCAUCAUGGCCCUUAUGUCCAGGGCUACACACGUGCUACAAUGGCUACUACAGAGGGGAGCAAUACUGUGAGGUGGAGCCAAUCCCUAAAAGUAGUCGUAGUUGGGAUCGGAGUCUGCAACUCGACUCCGUGAACCUGGAAUCGCUAGUAAUCGCGGAUCAGAACGCCGCGGUGAAUACGUUCCCGGGCCUUGUACACACCGCCCGU